GCCACUAGUUCAAAAUCUACUAUUCGUCCUUCUAUAGAAUAGACCGGUUUUGUCCUCCUCCUUGCAGGGAGCUUUUCCAAGUUUACCCCAGCUUGUAUACAAAGUUCUAAAAUGGCAGGGAUCCUUGGCACCGUGUGCCUUUCGUCAUGUCCAACUCUUGCCUUACCCACACAGUCAUAGAGAUGGAAGCAUUUAGGGAAAAAAGACUACAUCGCGCACUCCUCCCUUUCUCCAAACAUGAGUAGCACUCCGGGAACCACUGCCUGGACCAACGCAGGU
rnacentral:misc_RNA from 1 species